UGCUAAUUGUCCUUCAGGGAUUGGCGG
rnacentral:piRNA from 1 species